UACGUAGGGAGCAAGCGUUGUCCGGAAUCAUUGGGCGUAAAGCGCGCGUAGGCGGCCUCAUAAGUCCGUUGUGAAAGUCAAAGGCUACAACCUUUGAAAGCCGAUGGAUACUGUGAGGCUAGAGUCCGGAAGAGGCGAGUGGAAUUCCUGGUGUAGCGGUGGAAUGCGCAGAUAUCAGGAGGAACACCAAUAGCGAAGGCAGCUCGCUGGGACGGUACUGACGCUAAGGCGCGAAAGCGUGGGGAGCGAACAGG
rnacentral:rRNA from 1 species